AGGACGAACGCUGGCGGCGUGCUUAACACAUGCAAGUCGAGCGGCAAGGCCUUUCGGGGUACACGAGCGGCGAACGGGUGAGUAACACGUGGGUGAUCUGCCCUGCACUCUGGGAUAAGCCUGGGAAACUGGGUCUAAUACCGGAUAUGACCUGCUCUCGCAGUGGGGGGUGGUGGAAAGAUUUUAGCGGUGCAGGAUGGGCCCGCGGCCUAUCAGCUUGUUGGUGGGGUAAUGGCCUACCAGGGCGACGACGGGUAGCCGACCUGAGAGGGUGACCGGCCACACUGGGACUGAGACACGGCCCAGACCCCUACGGGAGGCAGCAGUGGGGAAUAGUUGCACAAUGGGCGAAAAGCCUGGACUGCAGCGACGCCGCGUGAGGAUGAAGGCCGUUGGGUCGUAAACCUCUUUCAGCGAGGACGAAGCGACGAGUGACCGUACUGCAGAAGAGC
rnacentral:rRNA from 1 species